rnacentral:rRNA from 1 species
CCUACGGGUGGCAGCAGUAGGGAAUAUUGCUCAAUGGAGGAAACCCUGAAGCAGCAACGCCGCGUGGAGGAUGAAGGUUUUCGGAUUGUAAAAUCCUUUUGUUAGAGGAGUUAAUGGCGGUAUCUGAAGAAUAAGCAACGACUAACUCCGUGACAGCAGCCGCGGCAAUAUGGAGGGUGCAAGGGUUACUCGGAGUCACUGGGCGUAAAGAGGGCGUAGGGGGGAUAGAAAGUCAGAUGUGAAAUCCUAUGGCUUAACCAUAGAAUUGCAUUUGAAACUGUUAGUCUAGAGUAUGGGAGAGGUAGGUGGAAUGCUUGGUGUAGCGGUAAAAUCCGUAGAGAUCAAGAGGAAUACUCAUUGCGAAGGCAACCUGCUAGAACAUAACUGACGCUGAUGCGCGAAAGCGUGGGGAGCAAACAGGAUUAGAUACCCUAGUAGUC